rnacentral:lncRNA from 1 species
GUUAGUAUCGCACGGAGGGGAAGAUCUACGUACACAUCAAUAUAUAUACGAGCCUCUUCAAACUUAGUUUAUUGAUAUCGACAAUGAUCCAUUUAGGACGUGGUUAGUAUCGCAGGGAGGGAAGAUCUACGUACACACCAAUAUACGAGCCUCUUCAAACUAAGUUUAUUGAUAUCGACAAGGAUCCUUUUAGAAUGUGGUUAGUAUCGCACGGGGGGAAUAUCUGCGUACCCACCGAUACACAAAUCUCUUCAAACUAAGCUUAUUGAUAUCGACAAGGAUCCUUUAAGGAUGUGGUUAGUAUCGCACGGAGGGGAAGAUCUACGUAUGCAUCAAUAUAUAUACGAGCCUCUUCAAACUAAGUUUAUUGAUAUUGACAACGAUCCAUUUAGGACGUGGUUAGUAUCGCAGGGAGGAAUAUCUACAUACACACCGAUAUACGAGCCUCUUCAAACUAAGUUUAUUGAUAUCGACAAUGAUUCCUUUAGGAUGUGGUUAGUAUCGCACGGAGGGGAAGAUCUACGUACACAUCAAUAUACGAGCCUCUUCAAACUAAGUUUAUUGAUGUCGACAAGGAUCCCUUUAGGACGCGGUUAGUAUCACACGGAGGGAAGAUCUACGUACACCACCCUUUUCAGAUCCCGCUUGUGCGAUUACACUGAGUACGUUGUUAUACACUUGGGGGUGGGGNNNNNNNNNNNNNNNNNNNNNGUGGGGGUGGGGGGUGGGGUAAAGAAUGUCUCAUAGCAAUAUAUAUUUCAUCUUUAGAUCUCUGAAAAUGACUUGAU